UACGUAGGGUGCAAGCGUUAAUCGGAAUUACUGGGCGUAAAGCGUGCGCAGGCGGUUGUGUAAGGCAGAUGUGAAAUCCCCGGGCUCAACCUGGGAAUUGCAUUUGAGACUGCCCGGCUAGAGUGUGUCAGAGGGGGGUAGAAUUCCACGUGUAGCAGUGAAAUGCGUAGAGAUGUGGAGGAAUACCGAUGGCGAAGGCAGCCCCCUGGGAUAACACUGACGCUCAUGCACGAAAGCGUGGGGAGCAAACAGG
rnacentral:rRNA from 1 species